CGCGUAGGCUGUUGAGUAAGUCAAAUGUGAAAUCCCCGGGCUUAACCUGGGAACUGCAUUCGAUACUGCUUAACUAGAGUAUGGUAGAGGGAAGUGGAAUUCCGGGUGUAGCGGUGAAAUGCGUAGAUAUCCGGAGGAACACCAGUGGCGAAGGCGACUUCCUGGGCCAAUACUGACGCUGAGGUGCGAAAGCGUGGGGAGCAAC
rnacentral:rRNA from 1 species